CCCGCUGAACUUAAGCAUAUCAAUAAGCGGAGGAAAAGAAACUAACAAGGAUUCCCCUAGUAACGGCGAGUGAAGCGGGAUGAGCUCAAAUUUAAAAUCUGGUAGUCUUUGGCUGCCCGAGUUGUAAUCUAGAGAAGUGUUUUCCGCGCUGGACUGUGUACAAGUUUCCUGGAUAUGGAACAUCAUAGAGGGUGAGAAUCCCGUCCUUGACACAGACUCCCAGUGCUUUGUGAUGCGCUCUCAACGAGUCGAGUUGUUUGGGAUUGCAGCUCAAAAUGGGAGGUAAAUUCCUUCUAAAGCUAAAUAUUGGCGAGAGACCGAUAGCGAACAAGUACCGUGAGGGAAAGAUGAAAAGCACUUUGGAAAGAGAGUUAAACAGUACGUGAAAUUGUUAAAAGGGAAACGAUUGAAGUCAGUCGCGUUGGCCAGGGAUCAGCCUUGCUUUUGCAUGGUGUACUUUCUGGUUGACGGGUCAGCAUCAAUUUUGACCGCUGGAAAAGGGCCUGGGGAAUGUGGCAGCUUCGGCUGUGUUAUAGCCCCUGGUCACAUACGGCGGUUGGGAUUGAGGAACUCAGCACGCCGCAAGGCCGGGUUUCGACCACGUUCGUGCUUAGGAUGCUGGCAUAAUGGCUUUAAGCGACCCGUCUUGAAACACGG
rnacentral:rRNA from 1 species